rnacentral:rRNA from 2 species
CGAACCGAUGAGAAGCUUGCAUUCUCUGAUGUUAGCGGCGGACGGGUGAGUAACACGUGGGUAACCUACCUAUAAGACUGGGAUAACUCCGGGAAACCGGGGCUAAUACCUGAUAAUAUUUUGAACCGCAUGGUUCGAUAGUGAAAGACGGCUUCGGCUGUCACUUAUAGAUGGACCCGCGCCGUAUUAGCUAGUUGGUAAGGUAAUGGCUUACCAAGGCGACGAUACGUAGCCGACCUGAGAGGGUGAUCGGCCACACUGGAACUGAGACACGGUCCAGACUCCUACGGGAGGCAGCAGUAGGGAAUCUUCCGCAAUGGGCGAAAGCCUGACGGAGCAACGCCGCGUGAGUGAUGAAGGUCUUAGGAUCGUAAAACUCUGUUGUUAGGGAAGAACAAAUUUGUUAGUAACUGAACAAGUCUUGACGGUACCUAACCAGAAAGCCACGGCUAACUACGUGCCAGCAGCCGCGGUAAUACGUAGGUGGCAAGCGUUAUCCGGAAUUAUUGGGCGUAAAGCGCGCGUAGGCGGUUUCUUAAGUCUGAUGUGAAAGUCCACGGCUCAACCGUGGAAGGUCAUUGGAAACUGGGGAACUUGAGUGCAGAAGAGGAGAGUGGAAUUCCAUGUGUAGCGGUGAAAUGCGCAGAGAUAUGGAGGAACACCAGUGGCGAAAGCGGCUCUCUGGUCUGUAACUGACGCUGAUGUGCGAAAGCGUGGGGAUCAAACAGGAUUAGAUACCCUGGUAGUCCACGCCGUAAACGAUGAGUGCUAAGUGUUAGGGGGUUUCCGCCCCUUAGUGCUGCAGCUAA